GCCUGGAGGGGGUUGUCCAAGCAACCCCGGUGGAUAGCAAAUCUAAGUGAUGCGCUAGUAGCUUCCACCCAUACAGGGGAAAAAACACUUCGUUUCGAACUCCUCUCGCCAUGGGAACUUGACUUUGUUAUUUCUUUGUUUGUCCGCAGCUUUCAAAUCCAAGACUUCGGAAUCUGAGUCCCGCAGUUCGCGCAUCUACUCGCCUGUACUUGGAGCAGGGAAGCUUUCUUAGAGAUGCAGUGGCCCUCAAAGUGACAGAAAUCCAGCCAGAUGAAGCUCCUGUGAGAGAAGGGUGUAUUGUCCAGGUCACGCUGAAGGAGGAGAUUUUCCUUUUGGGGGCUGGAGAGAUGGCUCAGAGGUUAAGAGCACUGACUGCUCUUCCAGAGGUCCUGAGUUCAAUUCCCAGCAACCACAUGGUGGCUCAGAACCAUCCAUAAUGAGAUCUGGUGCCCUCUUCUGGUGUGCAGAUAUAUAUAGAAGCAGAAUGUUGUAUACAUAAUAAAUAAAUAAAACCUUAAAAAAAGAUUUUCCUUUUGUUAUGCAUUAUUAAUCCUCAGAUUUUGUGUAUUAGAGACCAGAUUCAUGGUGAUAGUAAAUGGGUACCAUUGGUUCUAAGCAGUUUGCUCAACGGUCUCACCCUAAGUAUUUAUAGAGUUAGGGUGCAGCAGGCAACAGAUUCCUUGUUAGUAUUAUUUUUCAAUUUCAUGAUAUUCUUUUCUAAAAUGUCACAUUAUAG
rnacentral:lncRNA from 1 species